rnacentral:rRNA from 1 species
UACGUAGGUCUCAAGCGUUAUCCGGAUUUACUGGGCGUAAAGCGCGCGUAGGUGUCUUGUUAAGUCUGCGGUGAAAUCUCCGGGCCCAACCCGGAAACUGUCGCAGAUACUGGCAGGAUUGAGUGUGGUAGGGGCAGAUGGAAUUCCAGGUGUAGGGGUAAAAUCCGUAGAUAUCUGGAAGAACACCCAUGGCGAAGGCAGUCUGCUGGGCCAUUACUGACACUGAGGCGCGAAAGCGUGGGGAGCGAACGGG